rnacentral:misc_RNA from 1 species
UGCCCCUCACUUGCCAAUACGUCUAGAUCAGCCAGGGCGUCGGCAUGUGUAGCGUAUUAUGUUGGGCUCUCUCGAGAUAAGGAUACGAUGUCCCUUUAUCGGUUGGUUUCCUGUGUGCGCGGCCCGUUCGUUUUUCUGUUACUUCGCAUCGUUCGGUGCAUUCUGGGGGCUGUGUUGGCUUUUGGUGGCUUGCUUGGCCUUUUGGCUUUGCUUGUUGCUACUUGUCGGGCUGCUUUCGGGAAUGUCGACCGUGGAGGUGCAUGAGUGGUGUUUGGUUUGUUACGUGUGGAUGGCUGUUUGCUUGUGCAACAACGUUCACGCUGCGUACCUCUUCAGUUUUGCGGCAAGGCUUGGAUUGGCUUGUGCAUAUUGUGGGUUUCCUGUGUUGCAUACCUAGUUGAUGGAAAAGUGUGGGUUUUACGAUUUUCAUUUUCGUCUUGCGUCGUUCUUUUGGCGUGGGAUGAACAAUGAAGCGAUCUUUAUGAUCCAUCGUGCUGUUGCGUUUGCAACAAUGAUGUGGCCUAUGAAGCAUCGUUUGGUCUCUUGUAUACGGAAGCUCAUUUGGGCUUGGGUCUUUAUAAGAUCUUCGUUACGCCCUUGUUAAGCGUUCUCGCUUCUCCUAAACGAUUG